CAAAUUUAGUGGAUAUUUUGACAGCUGUAGUAUGGAUAAUACCAAGUCUGACAUGGUUGUUGUCGGUGACAUUACAUGUUCAGAAAUGAGAUGUGCUACAAGCGUGGAAUGUCAAAGACUUGUAUGGGUUAUAAUUUCAACAGCGCCAUGAACAGGUUUGUGUUGUCAAAACUACUUCUUUAAUAUUUACACAUUUAUUUAUGUUUGUUUGGUUUGGUUACACAUAUUAUGUUUUAAAUGACCUUUAUUUGUUUGGUUUGGUUACACAUAUUAUGUUUUAAAUGACAUUUAUUUGUUUUUGGUUUGGUUACACAUAUUAUGUUUUAAAUGACAUUUAGUUGUUUAGUUUGGUUACACAUAUUAUGUUUUAAAUGACAUUUAUUUGUUAGUUUGGUAACACAUAUUAUGUUUUAAAUGACAUUUAUUUGUUUAGUUUGGUUACACAUAUUAUGUUUUAAAAGACAUUUAUCAGUUUAGUUUGGUUACACAUAUUAUGUUUUAAAUGACAUUUAUUGUUUAGUUGGGUUACACAUAUUGUUUUUUAAGCCAUUUAUUAAGUUUGGUUACACAUAAAUCCGGAAUUUGGAAUGUAUGAAAAAAUUACUAAUGUCAUACUAGUCGUUUGCUAUACGUUUGUAAAACCUUGAUUUACGAUAUUUGAAGUAGUAAAACCGUUCUUUUGGUCUUUAAUAUAGAAAACAAAAGGCACACUUAAAAGAAGACAAGAAAAAAUAAAUGUUUAUUCGAUGACACAUUUAUAAAGGAUAUUCAAUAGUGUCACAGUGGUACAAAAAGGUGACAAUUAGAGAUGAUUAUGAUAAGGUAAUGCAUACAGUAAGGUAUCUUGUAAGGAUGUUGUGUAAUCAAAUUUAAUAAAUUUUUUUACUAUAUAAGUCGGACGAGCAUUUGUUAAUGAAACAAAUAUGCUAAAAAUAUAUAUUCCUAGGGCAUGGAUCCCCUCUCUAGAUAUUUGAUUUUCAAAAAAUGUAAAAAUACCAAGGAGUCCAAAGUACAUAUAUACAGUAAAUUUGUUACUGAAAAUAUGUUUAACAAGGCUCAUUUUAGUUUUUGUGUAUUGAAAACACCUCAUUUUGUGUUGAAUAAGGUGACUACAUUCGUAUAGUUUUGAUUUUUUGUUUGCAUGAUUGUUUGUUUUUAACUUGAUUAAGAUUUUAACACACAUGUUGACCUCUAAAUAAAAAAAAUAAGCUACAAAUAUUGAUAAGGCAUGGAGCUCCUUUUCAAGAAAUUUUAUGUUAAAAUAUGACAGGAAAAAGUUGACUCGGAGUUUACCUUAUAUUUGUUUUUGGUAAUAUUUUGGUCUCAAAUCAAAAGAAAAGAAAUUUAGAAUCAGCGUUAAUUUUGGUUAAUGAACUCAUAUGAGCUAUUAAUUCUUAUAUGAACGGAUAAAUGGGUGUUAUUUGGCAAAAUAUUUCACCUUGUAUUUUAUUGUUGGAAAAAAAAGGAGUCCAAAAAUGUGACACAAAUUCCCAAGUACAUAUAUGCAGUAAAUUUGUUACUUAAAAUUUUGUUUACAAAGCUCAUAACAAGUUUUCUGUGUAUUCAAAGCACCCUAUUUAGGUAUUCGUUAAGGCGACUGCAUGCGUAUAAUUUUAUUUUCUUUGGUGGCAUGAUUAUUUGUUUAUGGUGAUUUAAGAUUAUAUCACAUGUUGACCUCUAAAUAGUUUUUUUGACAUUAAUACCUUUUAUGUCUGUGCUCACACAUUGUUGUCAAAAUAAUUGAAUUAUAUGCGACUAUCAUACAAGUGAGAGUUUUACAACUUUAAAAGCAGAUUUAAUCUACUAUGUGAUACAUAUGUUACUACCUAAGUCAGGAAUAUCAUAGUUGUUUUCCAUUCGUAUGAAGUGUUUGAGUUUUGAAUUUACCAUUUGAUAAAGACUUUCCGUUUUGAAUCUUUCUUGCUUUUAGUUUACUUGUUAUCAAAAUCAAAGUAUAAAAGCAGUCAUUUUAUACAUUUUAGAUGUGAACUACUCUGGUUUGGAUCAGACGUUGUGACAGACAUACCACAUCACAUUGAAGCCGGAUGGAGAUUCUACAGUAAAUGUUUCAAUGGGAAAACUGCCUGUCUUGGGUGUUAUUUUUAGAUGACUAAUUGAAAGAAAACAGUUCUUGAUAAGGAUAUCAUUUGAAAACAAUUCUUUAGUGAUUUAUUAUUGGCAAUUUAAAAACAGAUGUAAAUUAGCGAUGAUCGAAUAUAGUGAAUCUAUUUUGCAAAAAACAACAAAAAAGUUAUUUUUAUAUGCAACUUCACAAAUCGAGAUCGAGGUUACUCAAACUUACGUAAGGAUAUAGCUAACUUGGUCCCUAUGAUUCAAAUUAAAAUUGGUUGAAUGUUAUAGUACACCUGUUUUCCAAAUUACCAUGUGUAUGUUGCAUAUGCUGUGACCACAUAACCAUACUCCUUUUGUCUGAACUUCUAACAGAAAACAAGUUAUUUGAGACUUACUCUUUACGAGCAAUAAAUGUGCUAUUCAAUAAGUAGAAGGUGACUACUCAUCCGGAUACUUUGUUCUCACCAUUAUUUGUAGGAUUCACUCACUUAAUCACAGUUUUAUAAAUAGUUUGAACUACAUAUUUUAUCAUGUGUUUUUUAAGUGUUUUGUCCGUUUUUAUUCGAAUUCGAAUUUUGCUAUGAAUUAAGCCUAUUGGUAUUUUCAAUUUCGAAUUUCGAUUUCAGUAGGCAAACAGUGUCGUGUGUAGAGUGUUGAUUUAAAUUUUUAUGUACAUAGACAUUGAGUUCUUUCCUUGAAAAGACAUUUUGAUUUUUUUUUUAUUUUUUCACCGCCAUUUUUGCUUAUGAUGAGUUUAUUUGCAACAUGGAUUAAAGUUAUUAGGCAAAUGAAAUUGUUGCGCUUUUGAAACUCACCAAUUUCAACAGGACAUGUUUCAUGUGUUUCCAUUUGGGAUUUAUCUCCUUGUUUACUUAUUUCUUGGUAUAGCUUUUGUUCAACAUUUUUAUUUUAAGUAAAAGAGGGACGAAAGAUACCAAAGGGACAGUCAAACUCAUAAAUCUGAUAAUAAACUGACAACGCCAUACGAAGGGAUGAUUUCAACUUCACCAUUUGGAACUCUUUGUUUAAUAGCCUUCUUGUGAGCAGCAAAUCUCUAUCAAGAAAAUCAUGAUAGGAAAUGUGCAUAAUUACCAUACAUUUUAAAUUUCAAUGUAUCAUUUCUAACCCAAUGUGACAUUUUGUUAAGUUGAAGCAGCAAAUUAUUUCAUGAUUUUAAUGCAAAGGUGUAAUGAAAGCUAUUAUAUUACAACAAAAUUGGCAUUUUGAACACCAGAAGUUACCUGUUAACCCCCUUCAAGAAAAAAACAUAGAAACC
rnacentral:lncRNA from 1 species